UCUGCCACUAAAACCCCAUCAUCAUGAAUCCAUCAUGUUCAUCAUCAUAGUCCCUGGUCUGGUUCCGCUCUUUCUCUGCCACUAAGACCCCAUUUCAUCCCCUGCCUCGGUGCUAGGGUUUAUCUAAAUUCAAGAUUAUCUGCUUUACAUUACGUUUCUAUAGACGUUAGCAAUCACAGCACCUUAAGUUAUGGCACUUCAAGUGGCUCUCUCCGGCCCUUUUCUUCUUUCUUCUUGUUCUGCUCAUAGGCUCAAUCCUCUUCUCUUCUCCCAACGGCGUCGUUGCAUUCCUUUCUCCCACUGGCGUUUCACUCGUAUCAAAUCCCGAUGUUUCGCUGUUGCUGCAUCAGAGAAUGGUGUAUUUACAUCUCCAGAGGUUGCAAAGUCGUUCGAUUUUUCUUCAGAGGAACGGAUAUACAAUUGGUACUCUGUUUUAUGAUCAUACCAGUUCAAUAAUUUUUCCUGUCCCCCUAUUUUUAUAUUUGUUGUGCAACUUUUGUUCUUACAUUAUCUUGAAGUUGUCUGUAAAAUAAAGAACAAUAAGAAUGAAGAGAAAAGAUGCUGUGAAAUUGGGUGUGUGUUAAGAAUAAUGAAUUGAUAGAACUAAUGAAUAUAGUAGAUAUCUAGUAGUCUUUUUAUCCAUCAGUCUGCAGGAAUGCAUUAUGAUUAAGCAAUAUGUUCAACAAAAAGUUUGUGUGCCAUGCAUAUAUUCAUUUGGAUCUCUUUAUGGCCCCAAAGAUAAUGCAUUUCUAAAUGUUGAAUAUCAAAUUGCUCCAUUCAUGUUUUCUCUAAGUAUGUAUUUGUUUCUGUUAAGUAUGUAUUUGUUUCUGUUUCCAUAUCUAAUGGCAUGCUUUCUGGUUCUGGUGUUGCUUCUUAAUCUAUGUUCUAUAAUAUGAUAUUUUCAUGUGAUUUGUGGAUGUUAGGUGGGAGUCCCAAGGGUAUUUUAAGCCAAAUUUUGAGCGGGGAAGUGAUCCUUUUGUGAUAUCCAUGCCACCUCCUAAUGUUACUGGUUCACUGCAUAUGGGGCAUGCCAUGUUUGUAACUCUUGAGGAUAUCAUGGUAAGAUACAAUCGAAUGAAGGGAAGGCCAACACUGUGGCUUCCUGGGACUGACCAUGCUGGUAUUGCAACGCAGUUAGUUGUAGAAAAAAUGCUUGCAUCUGAAGGGAUAAAAAGGACUGAACUGGGCAGAGAAGAGUUCAUAAAACGAGUUUGGGAGUGGAAAGAGAAAUAUGGUGGAACGAUUACAAAUCAGAUUAAGAGACUUGGUGCUUCCUGUGAUUGGACAAGAGAGCACUUUACCCUUGAUGAGCAGCUAAGUCGAGCGGUAAUUGAGGCCUUUAUCAGGCUUCAUGAGAAAGGUUUAAUCUAUCAAGGGUCUUACUUGGUUAAUUGGUCCCCUAAUCUGCAGACUGCAGUUUCAGACUUGGAAGUAGAAUAUUCUGAAGAACCCGGCACUCUAUAUUAUAUCAAGUACCGUGUAGCUGGAGGUUCAAGGAGUGACUUUUUGACAGUAGCAACAACUCGCCCUGAGACAUUAUUUGGUGAUGUAGCCAUUGCAGUUCAUCCUAAGGAUGAUCGUUAUUCUAUGUAUAUUGGAAGGAUGGCAAUUGUACCUAUGACAUAUGGUCGUCUUGUUCCUAUUAUAUCUGACAGGAAUGUUGAUAAAGACUUUGGGACUGGUGUCUUGAAGAUAAGCCCCGGACAUGAUCAUAAUGAUUACUUUCUUGCUAGGAAGCUUGGUCUUCCAAUACUUAAUGUGAUGAAUAAAGAUGGGACCCUUAAUGAGGUUGCUGGAUUGUACUGUGGUCUGGAUCGAUUUGAGGCACGGAAGAAACUGUGGUCAGAACUUGAGGAGACAGGUUUGGCUGUGAAAAAGGAGCCUCACACUUUACGAGUUCCCAGAUCACAGCGUGGUGGAGAAGUAAUAGAACCAUUAGUGAGUAAGCAGUGGUUUGUAGCCAUGGAGCCUUUGGCUGAGAAGGCACUUUGUGCAGUUGAAAAAGGAGAAUUAACCAUUCUGCCUGACAGAUUUUUGAAGAUUUAUAAUCACUGGCUAUCAAACAUUAAGGAUUGGUGUAUAAGCAGACAACUAUGGUGGGGACACCGCAUACCUGUUUGGUACAUUGAGGGAAAGAACUGUGAAGAAGAUUAUAUAGUUGCUAGGAAUGCUGAUGAAGCCCUUGAGAAGGCUCAUAAGAAGUAUGGAAAAGAUGUAGUAAUAUAUCAAGAUACAGAUGUUCUUGACACAUGGUUUUCAAGGUAUGUUUCUCCAAUCAUUACCAAUCAUUAGCCUCUUUCCAUUAUGCUUUAGUUUUAGAGAAAAGAUGGAAGAUUUGGGCAACAACUUGUGCUCCUAUGCAAAUGCCUACAGGAUUAGCAGCAAUAAUUCAUGAUCAGGUUCAAGAUAAGUAGCUAAAAGAAAGAGGCCAAUGAUUGGUAUCUUCUGUGUAUAUUCUCCUUAAUCUCAUAAAAUUGAAUGUAUGUUAAGAGAGAAGUUAGAAUCAUCUAUCACUUUUACAGUAUAUAAUUUUGUAGCUCAUGGUUGAUUCCACUAGCUAAAUUGCUUAAACAAUGAAAUCACUACUUGGAAAUGAAGUGAUCUUCCCAUUUUCUUAGCCUCAUAUUAUUUAACUUCUCUGCUCAGUGCCUUGUGGCCUUUUAGUACUCUUGGGUGGCCGGAUGUAUCAUCAGAGGAUUUUAAGAAGUUUUAUCCAACAACGAUGCUUGAAACUGGGUAUGUGCUUCCCCUGCUGGCUCCUGAGUCCUGCCACAUUCAAUUGUUGAUUUGUUUUCUAUCAUAUGGAUAUGCCAUUACUGUGGAAUCAUUUAAUGUGGAAGUGAGUCACAUUUAAGAUAUUGUAAUGGCACUGAUGCCUUUUAUCUCAGCUGGGUUAUGGAUAGUUUUAGUAUAAAUGAUGGGUAUUUGGUUUUGAGAAUGUUGGACGGUGACUUCCCAUCCUUUAUCUUGAUUAUUUAAGAAUUUAAAUUUAAAUUUACAUUCAAGCAGCUGAUAUGAUAGGCAAUUUUAUUUCUUUAAUUGUAGAAAGUUUGCAAAUCAAUGUAGCAAGGGUUGUCCACGCAACAUUGAUCAGUUAUUCUAAGGUGGCUCUCACUGUUUCGUCUUCUUUCUCUCAGCAUUCUUGAUCCAUGUGGGGACUGAACAUAUAAAAAGCUAUGCAUCUGACUUUUUUGUUGAUGGUUUGCAUCUUUAUAUAUAAUAAUAAUUAAUGGUAAAUAUGAGCAUCUCGAGAAUAAAUGGUAAAAAAUGGAACACAGAGGAAUUUGGAAGUUGCAUCAUUCAUUAUAGGAUAUAUUAUUGUCCUCAAUUUUUUUGUCUUAAUCAGUGUAUUGUUUGUGCCCUAAAAUUAUAUGACUAAAGGAUGUAUAUCAAAUAGUAAAACUGCUGACCUGGCUUCUGGUCUCACUAACAAGAUGACUGCCUUUUAUGUACAAGACAGAAUUUUCAAUGCUAUGAAAUUCUCAAAGUUUUUAUUGAUGCUUAAAUGUAUACCUUUACUUUCCUCAGCUUCCUUUCAUUUAUUUUGUUAUUCCAUAAUUACUGGCAUUGAUGCUUCUGUGUUUGGACAGGCAUGACAUUUUGUUCUUCUGGGUGGCAAGGAUGGUCAUGAUGGGAAUUGAGUUCACUGGGACUGUGCCAUUUUCAUAUGUUUAUCUUCAUGGACUUAUCCGGGACUCACAAGGACGAAAAAUGUCUAAAACACUGGGGAAUGUAAUAGAUCCCCUUGAUACAAUCAGGGAUUUUGGCACUGAUGCUUUACGAUUUACUCUUGCUUUAGGAACUGCUGGGCAGGACCUUAACUUGUCUACUGAGAGAUUGACUGCCAACAAAGCCUUCACUAACAAACUAUGGAAUGCUGGCAAGUUUGUGUUGCAAAAUUUCCCUAGUCAAGCUGAUACAUAUGCUUGGGAAACUAUGCUGGCUUAUAAGUUUGACAAAGAGGAGUCCUUGCUCCAGCUACCUUUACCUGAAUGCUGGGUGGUCUCAAAACUUCAUAUACUUAUCGACGAAGUCACUACAAGCUAUGAUAAGUUCUUCUUUGGAGAUGUUGGAAGAGAAACCUAUGAUUUCUUCUGGAGUGAUUUUGCCGAUUGGUACAUAGAAGCCAGUAAAGCUCGACUCUACCACUCUGGACCUGGAGGUGAUUUAGUUGCACCAGUGGCACAGGCAGUUCUAUUAUAUGUUUUUGAAAAUGUAUUGAAG
rnacentral:misc_RNA from 1 species